GUUAAAACAGCAAAUGGUGUAGUUGUGUGAGUGCAAUACCAUCUCCACCCAGCUGGCACGUGGCUCACAGAAAAUCAAGCACACCCGUCUCUCCCACUCAGGCCUUCAGGAGCCUAUAAAGCAACUCAGCACACCUGUGUUUGAGAUAAUCUCUACAAACAAAGACCUCAUCUUCAAGCUCCUGCAGAACACCACUGGUAGGAACUGAACUUUAAAUCUGUAUUCAGAGGACCUUGCUGGCUUUACAAAAUGGAUUUAUGAAAGUAGUUCAUUUUGUUUAUUUUCUUUUGAUGACUCAAAAAGUAAUUUGUACUUUGUGUGUUUGUAGGUUUUCAACCUGCUCAGGUGUCAUGAAAGAACAGUGAUUUAAAGAAAAGAAAGAGAAAUAAAAUAAAAAGAUGACACUGAGAAGAGUUGGUCCGGGUUGUCUUUGAUGGGAGCAAGCCUUGUCAAGUUUGGGCAGAAGCUAAGGUGUUUUGUAGAGACUAAAAACUUGACAGUUGAAAACCAAUGGAAACCAGCUGGAAACCAGUUCGAACCAAUUGGGAACCAGUUGGAAACCACUGUGAAGAUCAGAUGAAAGAGAAGUCCUGAGGAAAGAGCUUUGACGAAUCAACUCAAGGAGGAACAUCAGGUCAUUUCAUCUAUACAGUCCACAAUGGCUGAAGAAAUGUUUGGAAAGUCAGUGAAACAAUUGAAGCUGGAUCGCACCAUGGCAAAGUCUUCCUUCACCAAGCAAGCAAACUUCCUGAGCAGAAAAGCUUCCAACAUGACAGAGAUGGAACUGCGAGAGGAGUUUAAAAAGCUAACUUCUGAUGCCAGACAUGUAAGUGACUCAAAUGAUGAUUACAAAGCUGGACUAUUGGCAGAGGUGGGAGAUGAAGCUGAUGAACUUGAUGAACAGCAAAAAGCUGAUUUGGAAAAGACUAUUAUUGACUGUGAAUUAAAAUUAGAAGAAGUCAAACAAAUAGUUCAGUCUAAUUUGUGGAAAAAAUAUGGUCAGGAUGAACUCUAUACUGCAAUUCAAGAGGCUGAGAAGGCAUGUAAUGAUGCUUCUGACAUAAAAGUUUUAACUGUGUACAAAAACGCAUAUGAAGUGCAGCUGUCCUUCGUGGAGAAUGUGAUCCAGGAAUCUAUUAAAAGUUUUUUGACCUGGGAAAUGUGGAUUCCAGUAGAAGAAAGGGACAACUUAGAAGACAGAGUAAAACAAAUGAAAUUGAUGAAAAAUAAACUUCAAACAAGAAAAUCACAGUUUGCCAUAGCACAAACAAUUGCAGAGGAGAAGAAGAAAUCAGAUGAUGCGCAAUCAGACCUUACGUCUUUUCCUAUACUAGCUCAACCUGCACCCAGUGUAAAGAUUAGACCCAUUUGUCUACCAAAAUUUCAUGGCUGUAAAAGAAACUUUCACAGAUGGAGAAAAGACUGGGAAAGCCUGCAGAAGCAGGGAGAACCAAGUGGCUCAGUGGAAGUGAAAAAGUUUCAGUUGUUGGAUAGUGUGGAUGAAAGAAUCUGUAAUGAAUUACAUCUGUCUGCUUAUGAUACUGCCGCAGAUAUGUUCCGAGUGAUGGAAAAUAGGUAUGGCGACAAGUUAAGCAUUGCUUUAGAAAUUAUUGAAGAGCUUGAGAAGACUCCACCCCUGAAAGCAAACCAGCCAAGGAAAGUGAUAGAUCUUAUUCAAGCAAUUGAAAAGGCUCUAGCUGACUUAACAGAGUUAGGUAACAUUGGAGCAAUGAAAAAUCCUUUGGUUAUUAAAUCUCUAGAGAGUAAACUACCUGAUGUUAUAAAGAGAGACUGGCUAGUUUUUAUGGUUAAUCCUGCCAAUGCAGUUACACCAGAUAACCAUUUUGAUAGUCUUCUCAAAUUUUUAAAGACACAGGAGGAAGUUCUAGAGAAAUUGGAGCAACUUGGAGUGAGUGAAAAGGUUGAGAAGAAGUUUGAGAAACGACAUGCUUUUACUCGAUCCACAAGAAAGAAUCAUGUCUGUAUUGUGUGUGGAGACGCAAGACAUGGAGAUAAAAUAUUCUUCUGCAAACAGUUCAAAGCAAUGAAUUUACCUGAAAAGCUCAACAUUGUAAAGACGUUGGACACAUGCAAAAGGUGUUUGAGAAAGCAUGGAGAUGCUGAUUGCAUCAAUACUUACCUUUGUAGAAAUAAAGAUUGUAAGAAAAGAAGCUUUUCAGAUCACCAUUUCCUCCUUUGCCCAAAGGGUGAGCUUACAAAGGUUGAGACUGUUAAACCAAGAAGGGAAAAUAGACUGACAGAAGAGCAGGAAAAAUUCAUAGCUGGACUUUCACCAGAACUAGCAGAAGAAUGCAGAAAAGCCUUUUCAAAUGUGACUGCUUCAACAAAAAACACAAAGUGUGAAGCCUCUGGGCUUAUGGAGUCAUAUGGACUAAAAGAGCAACCUGUCAUUCUAAUGCUAUUGGAAGUCACUACGAACGCAGGCCAGAAAAUAGGCACUUUGAUUGACUUGGCUUCUGAUACUAAUUACAUUACUCAUCAAGCAGCUAAAAGGUUGAGCCUAGAAGGUGAAAACAUAACAUUAGUUGUUCAUGGUGUUGGGGGAAUGUCAGUCAAAGUUAGAACAAAGAGAUACCUGUUAAGAGUGAGAGUUAAGACCCCCAAAGGCACAGUGAAAGCUCACCAACUCAUUUGUUAUGGACUUAGUGAAAUUGCUAAAGUGCAUAAAGUCAUUCAACCACUGCAGCUGCAAAAGUUUUUCCCAGAUGUUGGCCUGGAAGACCUUAAAAGACCAGAUACCAUUGAGCUGCUAAUAAGCCACAGAGAAGGCAGACUGGCCCCUCAAAGAGUCAAGGUUGUUGGAGACCUGGUCCUGUGGAACAGUCCACUCGGCAUGACCGUGGGAGGAGCUCAUCCGGAUCUUUGUGAAGACGUCGACGUGGCAGCACACAGGUCAGAAACGCACUUUGCUCGUUCUAUGCGCAUUGCUGCUGUAAAGUAUAAAGAAGUCUGCAGUUUCGAAGAAGUUAAAGCAGAAAGCAAAAACACAACUACCAAUAAAGAGUUUAUUGAUUGGUGGAAGUGGGAGAGCAUAGGAGCAGCUUGUGAACCAAAGUGUGGUGGAUGUCGCUGCGGAACAUGUCAACCAGGUGGGAAAGAUAUGACAUUAAUGGAGGAGAAAGAACUUGAAAUAAUUAAACAAGGUCUUACCUAUGUGCAAGCAGAUAACCACAGUGAUGCUCCCCACUGGGAUGCAAAGUAUCCUUGGAUUGUAGAACCCGCUUGUCUUCCCAAUAACAGGAAAAGUGUUGAAUCAACUUUCUUAAGAACAGAAAGACGAUUAAAUAAAGAGCCUGAAUGGAAAACUGUCUAUGCAAACCAGGUGCAUGAAAUGGUGGAGAGGAAAGCAGCAAUAAAACUAACAGAAGACACUCUAAACAACUGGAAAGGACCAGUAUGGUAUGUAAACCAUCAGGUGGCGCCAAAUCCUCAUUCUGUGACCACUCCUGUGCGUUUAGUAUGGAACAGCAGUCAAAGAUUUGAAGGUCUAAGUAUGAAUGAUAUUCUGCUGAAAGGUCCUGAUGUUUUAAAUCCCAUUCGUGCUGUUCUACUCAGGUUCAGAAGGGGACUGCAUGCUGCCCUGGGAGACAUUAAAAAAAUGUAUAACUCUGUUUGGCUAGAGGACCUGGAGAGACAUCUUCACAGGUUCCUCUGGAGAGACGGCUCAGAAGAGGAGAUCGGUGAGUUUGCCAUUACCAGAGUUAACAUUGGGGAUCGACCUGCUGGAUGUAUUGCCCAAGUAGCAAUGCGAGAGACGGCAAAACUGCCCAUGUUUGACAGCUGUAAAGAGGAGCGUAGGAUCCUGGAAGAAGACUGUUAUGUCGAUGAUAUUUUAACAUCUGACAAUGACCCAGAACUUUUGCAUAAACACAUUAAGAAGGUGGAAGAGAUCUUACAAGCUGGGGGAUUCUGUUUGAAACCAUGGGUCCUAUCAGGUCAAAGUGGGAGGCAAAACAUGUCCUUACCUAGCAGAGACAAAAUCCUUACACUCCCUAAUCAGUUGAAAGAGGAUGAUAAUAAGGCUUUGGGAGUGGGAUAUCUGGUGGAGGAGGAUAAAUUAUAUGUGAUGACAUCAAUUAACUUCUCAAAAAGGAGGAAAAAAAUGAAGAUGGGACAAAACCUAGAAGAAGGAGAAGUGAGAAUAAAUACUCCAAAUCCUCUCACUAGGAGAGAACUCCUUAGCCAAGUAGCUAGUCUUUUUGAUCCCAUUGGGCUAGUCACACCCACCAAACAAAAAGGAGCCAUUCUAGUGAGAAAGGCUUUUCAAGAAACCAGAACUGCAGGCAAAGCAGGUGAUACUUGGGAUCAACCACUUUCUGAUGGGCUAAGAAAUGAAGCCAUUGAAUUAUUCCAGGAUUAUGUUCGCCUGGGCCAAAUUAAAUUUCACAGGAGUUUAACACCAAUCAGUUGGAUUAGAAAGCCCAUUGGAAUAACUUUCUCUGAUGGGAGUGACAAAAGUUAUGGGGCAGUUCUAUACUUCAGAUGGGAGACAGAGCAAGGGAUCCAAGUGAGACUUGUAGAAUCCAAAGCAAAACUUACUCCACUCGAUCAGAAAGGAGAACCUGUAAAAGCAGAAAUUUGUGGUGCUGUGUUUGCAGCUCGUCUGAGGAAGUAUGUUGAAAAGCACAGUAGGAUGGAAAUUGGAGGCUGGUACCAUCUUCUAGACAGCCAAACUGUGCUAGGAGCCAUUCAGUGUGACAGCUAUGGGUACCAAACUUUCUUUGCUAACAGAAUUGGUGAAAUACAGAAAACUGGGCCUGUCGCAGAUUGGUGGUGGAUUCCAGGUGAGCUAAAUGUUGCAGACAUUACAUCAAGAGGAGCAUGUCCUGAGCACCUCCAAGAGGACUCACAGUGGCAAAAUGGACCAAAAUUUUUGUUGCAACCUAUUGACCAGUGGCCGAAAAGAUCUGCCAAAGACAUUGCUAUAAGUGCAAAGGAAGGGGUUGAAAAACUCCAAAGAAAAGCUUUCUCAGCAGUAAUAACUAGAGCACAGUCUAAGCAAACUGAAGAAAAAUUGUGUGAUGAGGAGGUGACAAAGAAUGCUCUAAAAGCUACAAAGUGUAAAGAAAGGGACAGGGAGCUCAAAAUCUCACCUCUUACAUUCAUUGCCAAGCAGUUAAUUCAAGAGAGGAGAUACAGCAGUCUUUCUAAACUAGUCAGAGUUAUUGCAUGGGUGAGAAGAGCUGUUGAAAACUGGAAACUCACUUUAGAAAGUCACCAUAGUGGCAGAAAAGUGAAAGAAAAAAUUUCAACAGACAUCAAACAAUCAACCAUCCAUCCCGGGCUUAGUGUUAAAGAGUGUGAGAAUGCACUGAGAGAGGUUUUUCUGGCUGCACAAGAGAAUACCUCAUUCCAUGACACAACUUUAAACAGACUAGUUGUGUUUAAAGAACAAGAUUCUGGACUUCAGGUAUGUGGGGGUCGUAUUCAAUCCUUUAAUGAAGACAAAAGAGCUGUUCCCAUUUUACCUUAUGACUCAUGGGUAUCCAUGUUGGUUGCUCUUGAAGCUCAUGAAGUAAAUCAUGAAGGCAUUGCUGGAACAUUACUGCAGAUGAGGAAAAAAGCAUGGGUGGUGAGAGGCAGAAGAUUGGCUAAAAAAGUUGUGGAUAACUGUGUGACGUGCCGGAAAAUCAGGGCAAAAAGAUGUGAACAGAUAAUGGGUGACCUUCCACCAGAACGAACACUGCCUGCCAGACCAUUUGAGUUUACUACUAUUGAUCUAUUUGGACCUUAUGAAGUGAGGGAUGAGGUCCGGAAAAGAGUUAAACUGAAAGUGUGGGGCAUCAUCUUCUGUUGCAUGUCAUCUAGAGCUAUUCACACAGAUCUUGUAAGCGAUCAGUCAAGUGAAGGCUUUUUGUUAGCAUACCAAAGAUUUACAGCCUUAAGAGGACAUCCAAGGAAGUUAUGGUCAGAUGGCGGAAAAAACUUUAUUGGAGCUAAACCUGUCCUGGUUGAUCUUUAUCUGUUUUUGGACCGACUAAACAAAGAGAAAAUUCAACAUGAAGCUUUGGAACAUGGAACUGAAUGGAGCUGGAAAAUACACCCUGCAGACUCCCCCCAUAGGAAUGGGGCAGCAGAAGCAGCUGUAAAGAUACUCAAGCAAGCAUUGCACAAUCUAGGAUCAGAUGGAGUUUUUACAUGGAGUGAAUUUCAAACAUUCCUGUAUAUGGCAGCUAAUCUGGCUAAUGAAAGACCAAUAGAUGCAAGAACUCAAAGUCGAGAAGAUUGCAUAAGCUACAUCACACCAAACUCUCUGCUGCUUGGAAGAACUGAUCUAAAAAGUGAUAACUGUGGAUUUGACUUUAAAAGUUAUCCACUCAAGAGAUUAAAGUUCAUUCAAACAGAAGUGGACAGAUUCUGGAGAAAAUGGAGUCAACUAGCUGGACCAAAUUUGUUUGUCAGAAGUAAAUGGCGUUCAAAGAAGCGAAAUGUUGCUGUCGGAGACAUUAUUUGGCUUGCAGACCAAAAUGCUUUAAGAAGUCAGUACAAACUUGGCAGAGUGAUCAGUGUAAACAGUGACGGGAAGGGGAUUGUAAGAGAUGUAUAUAUACGAACUUAUCCAAGUUACCCUGUACCACUUGUGAGAGCUGGAGGACAAACGAGGAAGAUGAGGAAGAAACUUCAAAUGAAGAUACCCUCAACAAUACUUCACAGGGAUGUAAGACGCAUUGUGUUAUUGCCAAUAGAAGAGCAAGAAAACCCUGCUGGGACAAGAUCUGGUGAAGAGAGAGAGGUGUGAUCUCCUUGGGUUCAAAAAACCAGGAGCUCAAGUGGGAGGUGUCAAGUUAAAACAGCAAAUGGUGUAGUUGUGUGAGUGCAAUACCAUCUCCACCCAGCUGGCACGUGGCUCACAGAAAAUCAAGCACACCCGUCUCUCCCACUCAGGCCUUCAGGAGCCUAUAAAGCAACUCAGCACACCUGUGUUUGAGAUAAUCUCUACAAACAAAGACCUCAUCUUCAAGCUCCUGCAGAACACCACUGGUUUUCAACCUGCUCAGGUGUCAUGAAAGAACAGUGAUUUAAAGAAAAGAAAGAGAAAUAAAAUAAAAAGAUGACACUGAGAAGAGUUGGUCCGGGUUGUCUUUGAUGGGAGCAAGCCUUGUCAAGUUUGGGCAGAAGCUAAGGUGUUUUGUAGAGACUAAAAA